AAAGCUUUAAGUUAACAUAAACUAUUAACCUUCAAAGUUAAAAAUAUAUUCAAUAUAAGCUUUA
rnacentral:tRNA from 1 species